AUUGAACGCUGCCGGCAGGCCUAACACAUGCAAGUCGAACGAGUGGCGGACGGGUGAGUAAUGUCUGGGAAACUGCCUGAUGGAGGGGGAUAACUACUGGAAACGGUAGCUAAUACCGCAUACCAUCGGAUGUGCCCAGAUGGGAUUAGCUAGGAGGUGGGGUGAAGGCUCACCUAGGCGACGAUCCCUCGCUGGUCUGAGAGGAUGACCAGCCAGACUGUAACUGAGACACGGUCCAGACUGCGACGGGAGGGAGCAGUGGGGAAUAUGGCACAAUGGGCGCAAGCCUGCUGCAGCCAUGCCGCUUGUAUGAAGAAGGCCUUAGGGGUGUAGAGUACUUGCAGCGGGGAGGCGUUACCCACAGAAGAAGCACCGGCUAACUCCGUGCCAGCAGCCGCGGUAAUAC
rnacentral:rRNA from 1 species